UCGAGAGGCUUCGGCAAUGGGGGAAACCCUGACCGAGCGACGCCGCGUGAGGGAUGACGCUCUUCGGAGUGUAAACCUCUUUUAUAGGGGAAGAACCGCACGGGAAAUAAUACGUUCCGUGCCUGACGGUACCCUUUGAAUAAGCUCCGGCUAACUCCGUGCCAGCAGCCGCGGUAAUACGGGGGGAGCAAACGUUGUUCGGAUUUACUGGGCGUAAAGGGUCCGUAGGCGGUUGCGUAAGUCUGAUGUGAAAUCUCCGCCGCUCAACGGGGAGAGGUCAUUGGAAACUGCGCGACUUGAGUAUGGUAGAGGCAAGCGGAAUUCCUGGUGUAGCGGUGGAAUGUGUAGAUAUCAGGAAGAACAUCUGUGGCGAAGGCGGCUUGCUGGGCCAUUACUGACGCUGAGGGACGAAAGCGUGGGGAGCAAACGGGAUUAGAUACCCCGGUAGUCCACGCCGUAAACGGUGCACACUAGGUGUAGGGGGUAUCGACCCCUCCUGUGCCGACGUUAACACAUUAAGUGUGCCGCCUGGGGAGUACGGCCGCAAGGUUG
rnacentral:rRNA from 1 species